GAUGAAGAACGUAGCGAAAUGCGAUAAGUAGUGUGAAUUGCAGAAUUCAGUGAAUCAUCGAAUCUUUGAACGCACAUUGCGCCCCUUGGUAUUCCAUGGGGCAUGCCUGUUCGAGCGUCAUUUGUACCUUCAAGCUCUGCUUGGUGUUGGGUGUCUGUCUCGCCUCUGCGUGUAGACUCGCCUUAAAACAAUUGGCAGCCGGCGUAUUGAUUUCGGAGCGCAGUACAUCUCGCGCUUUGCACUCAUAACGACGACGUCCAAAAGUACAUUUUUACACUCUUGACCUCGGAUCAGGUAGGGAUACCCGCUGAACUUAAGCAUAUCAAUAAGCGGAGGA
rnacentral:misc_RNA from 1 species